AAUCAACGCUGGCGGCGUGCCUCAGACAUGCAAGUCGAACGAUUAAGACUCCCUUCGGGGAGUGCAUAAAGUGGCGCACGGGUGAGUAACACGUAAGUAAUCUACCCUCGAGUGGGGAAUAACGUUCGGAAACGAACGCUAAUACCGCAUAAUGCAGCGGCACCGCAAGGUGACAGUUGUUAAAGGAGCAAUCCGCUUGAGGAGGAGCUUGCGGCAGAUUAGCUAGUUGGUAAGGUAACGGCUUACCAAGGCUACGAUCUGUAUCCGGCCUGAGAGGGCGGUCGGACACACUGACACUGAAUAACGGGUCAGACUCCUACGGGAGGCAGCAGUCGAGAAUUUUGGGCAAUGGGCGAAAGCCUGACCCAGCAACGCCGCGUGAAGGAUGAAGUAUUUCGGUAUGUAAACUUCGAAAGAAUAGGAAGAAUAAAUGACGGUACUAUUUAUAAGCUCCGGCUAACUACGUGCCAGCCGCCGCAGUAAUAC
rnacentral:rRNA from 1 species